UGAACGUCCUCUGUGUUUCGAAUUGUGU
rnacentral:piRNA from 1 species